CACAAACACAAACAUUCUACCAACUAAGCCUCUGAUCACAACUAUGUCAAAAAUAAAUGCAAUCGAUGUUUUACAGGAAGCCCGCUUACUCAAAAGCUUCCGCCGAUAGAACCUUGGAUGUGUGUAAUUUUGUUCUUGCAGAAAUAACACCAAAUAUAUCUCUGCUCUACGCGUCUCUAAACCUUAUAAAAGCACAUACCUUCAUAGCGCUCGGCUUGCUCAGCAAGUUUGGCUAAAUAAACAGCAUCUUCACGAGAAGUAGUAGACAUUUUUACCAAACGUUCGAAAAUGUGAGUAUAUCGUGGUGGUUGGCACUGGAAAGGUUGCGGAACGUCGUAUGGUAGAAAAAGGACUGCUCCCACAGUAAAAUUUCGUA